AAAAAGGGCUUCUGUCGUGAGUGGCACACGUAGGGCAACUCAAAUGCUCUUCAUGUGGAAUCAACAUCAAGAGAUUUCAGAAGCAUAAUUUUUUAGUACCUGGGUAUCCAGUGAUUGUUGGUCCCAGCUCUCAA